UAUAUUUUAGUGUAAGAAGCACAAUAAUUUUUGAUAUUAUUAGAUUUAGUUUAAUUCUAAAAAAUAUAA
rnacentral:tRNA from 2 species